ACCCAUACAUGUUUAAAAUAUAAUAUAAUGCACAAGGAACCUAUAAAACCAGGUAGAGAUCAUGGAAAAGAGAAACCAUGCUGGUAAUUCAUUAGAGAAAAACCAAUAACAAGCAAUGUAAUACACUAAUCGCGCAAGUUUUGACAAAAACUUAAUAUAUUCUAUUACAAAAUAUGUAAUUCAAAGAUAUCCACCAAGUAAGCCACAAUGCAUAUCGAAAUACCUCUUUGCAUUAUAUGAACAACAUUUUGAUACUGAAGUUAAUAUUAUCAUUUAAGAAAGGACACUACUAAACUGCUUGUUGAAUCAGAUUCCCAGAAGGAUAACAAACAAGAAAAAAAAAAACAGUUGGGAUCUUAAUAUUCACAACCUAGCAUAUAUCAUAAAAAUCACCAUUACUUAACUCGAGGUUUUUCUUUCUUAAGACGAAAACAUUAGUGCUAAAAAGCCUAAAAUAAAGAAAGGGUCAUCCUAACCACCACCCAAUGGGUGCUAGAGUUAUGGUUCAAAUAAUAUAUAGGGUUUGCUCCCUCCAAGUCUUAGGUUGAACUCCCAUUACUAUCAACUUCUUCGAGCCACGCUAGCGGGCUCUGCCCGAUCCACGUGGAGGGAUGCUUUGUGUAAGUCCUGUGCGCGUAAGUGUACCAAACACCCAGUCAUAAAAAAAAAUAAUAUAAAAUUUUAGAAUUUCAAUACACAUUUGUAUUUCCACACUAUUAUAUAUUUAUGCACAUAGUUCCAUACACCCUUUUACACAUAUAGCAACAUUAACCAACGCCAUUGACCGGCGGUGACUAGCAUUAUCCCAUAAAAAAUAGGUAAAGAUUAAAUUCUUGAGGCUAUGUUUGGACAAUAUGAAUCAAAGACAAUGAGUGAAAACAGGCCAACAACACCGACACCCGUCAAAUAAUAACAAACUAAGGGGAAAAAAAAUCAGAAACAGGCCAAAGAACCAUAUGUUAACACCGUUCAACACGUUGUACACAGAAAGCCCCAAAAUUUUGAUUAUUGAUUGACCAUACCAUCUAGAAGUAUUUCUCAAACAACCAAGCAAUCAUCUAGGUUUCAAUAUACCAUACAGUUUACAUAUAUAAUGUAACAAAAAGCUCACAUAAGAACUUAAUUUUACAUUUUAGUUUCUUUGUAAUCUCUAUUGAUUUCAAUAAGAUCAAAACCCAAUAAUACUAACAAUCGUAAUUUUAUUUCCGUCAAUUUUCUCAAAAAAAAAAGAGCACAAAAAAAAAAAAAAAA